GAUGAACGCUGGCGGCGUGCCUAAUACAUGCAAGUCGAGCGAAUGGAUUAAGAGCUUGCUCUUAUGAAGUUAGCGGCGGACGGGUGAGUAACACGUGGGUAACCUGCCCAUAAGACUGGGAUAACUCCGGGAAACCGGGGCUAAUACCGGAUAACAUUUUGAACCGCAUGGUUCGAAAUUGAAAGGCGGCUUCGGCUGUCACUUAUGGAUGGACCCGCGUCGCAUUAGCUAGUUGGUGAGGUAACGGCUCACCAAGGCAACGAUGCGUAGCCGACCUGAGAGGGUGAUCGGCCACACUGGGACUGAGACACGGCCCAGACUCCUACGGGAGGCAGCAGUAGGGAAUCUUCCGCAAUGGACGAAAGUCUGACGGAGCAACGCCGCGUGAGUGAUGAAGGCUUUCGGGUCGUAAAACUCUGUUGUUAGGGAAGAACAAGUGCUAGUUGAAUAAGCUGGCACCUUGACGGUACCUAACCAGAAAGCCACGGCUAACUACGUGCCAGCCGCCGCGGUAACAC
rnacentral:rRNA from 1 species